UACAGAGGGUGCGAGCGUUAUCCGGAAUCACUGGGCGUAAAGGGCGCGUAGGCGGCCUGAUAAGUAGGGGGUGAAAUCUUGCGGCUCAACCGCAAGGCUGCCUUCUAAACUGUCAGGCUGGAGCACGGUAGAGGCAGAUGGAAUUCCCGGUGUAGCGGUGGAAUGCGUAGAGAUCGGGAAGAACACCAGUGGCGAAGGCGGUCUGCUGGGCCGUUGCUGACGCUGAGGCGCGACAGCGUGGGGAGCAAACAGG
rnacentral:rRNA from 1 species